rnacentral:rRNA from 1 species
UACGAAGGGUGCAAACGUUGCUCGGAAUUAUUGGGCGUAAAGCGCACGUAGGCGGCCCAGCAAGUCGGAAGUGAAAUCCCACGGCUCAACCAUGGAAGUGCUUUCGAAACUGCUGGGCUUGAGUACAAAAGAGGAUCGCGGAAUUCCCGGUGUAGAGGUGAAAUUCGUAGAUAUCGGGAGGAACACCAGUGGCGAAGGCGGCGAUCUGGGUUGAUACUGACGCUGAGGUGCGAAAGCGUGGGGAGCAAACAGGG